rnacentral:lncRNA from 1 species
GUUGUGCUCUAAGCAGGGAAGUGAGUGAUUCUCAGCAGGUGAAUCUCAUCCUCGGACCUUCUUCUGCUCAGCACUUGGAAGACAACACACCUUCCACCAACCUCCAUCCAGUCUCUCCUUUAUUUGUCGUGCCUCUUAGAAAAAGUGUUGCUGAAGUCUGGCCUUUUUUUUUUUUUUCCUCCGACUCUCCCUAUCUCUAGCUUUAUCAAAAGAUAACUUGGUGCUGUUCCCAUAAGCUCACAGUCUAAGCAGGAGACACCAAGUUUCUGAGAUUUAUGCGGUGGCCAAGAGUUAUAUGAAAAGAUAUUGUUACCCUGUCUCUGAAAUGAUGACAAAUGCAGCUGUUGCCUGUUUUCUUCCAAUCUGCCUUUAUAAUCUUGUAUGGCAAACACAACACAUUUGUCACUGACAAAAUGAAAUAAGUUUUUAUCUGUUGUUUUGGAAAGGGAUAAGUCACCAGAUAGUAAUUUCCAAGCACUCUGGAAAAGGUCAUACAGAUCCCCAGUGCUAAUCACAAGUGCAGAAAUGGCGUGGUUUUACAAUUCCAAUUUUAUCUCUUCUCACUGGGCAGCUUAUCAAAGCCUGAGAGGGAGAUCUUUGGAACUUGGCAUGAGACGUCGACUAAGAGAAAACUAUGCUAUAGGGGUUUGAAUAUACAAAAUCUAUCCCUCUUAUACAUUUAUAUAAUGUAACAACUGACAUCUGGUUAUGAAAAUAGCAAAGAUCUUUUUUUUUAAUGUAUUAUCUCCAUGAUGUUUUAACAAGAUAUUUUCUUGUUAGGUUGUUUUCUAAAAAGGAGAACUAAAUCUCAGAGUGACGAAAGAAGCCAAUAGUAACCUUCAGGUUCAAGUCCCAGCCUCUCCCAUGCCCUCAAUCGCCCCACUUGUUUUUCCUUUGCUUCCAGGGCAGGGCUGAAGUCAGUUGGGGGAGAAAAACUCUCUAACAACACUGGUAUUUUUUUUUUUUUUCAUUCUUAAAGAUUGCUUAACAACUACUGGUAUCUUUGGAGGGGUACAUGGACUUGGUGAAUUUUCUAGGGUGAUGAGUAAUGUGUUCUUCAAUGUUCUAUGCCUUCUGCUCCCUGGCACUGUGGUGGUCACUACUAGGUCUUUGCAAGAUUACAUGGUAGAAUGUUGCUAGCUUUGGCCCCAGACUCACUCUAAUAUGAGUAUAGCGUAUAGCCUUAAAGGGGACAUCCAAAUUCCCGAUUGCAGCAGACAGAAUUUCUCUUCCAGAUCAAGGCUAAACUGAGAUAAGAGAAGAGGUUAAUGGACAGUUAGCUUUCAGUGUUUUGAGGCUCAAAGCAAUCCCCCCCUCCAUUCCUGUGCAAGAUCUUCAAGUUGGCAAUGUACCACGAUGUCAGUCCAUCUGCUCUGUGUAUUUAAAACUAAUUCCUUUUAUGAAAAUUCAUUAUGUCAAACUGCUCAUAACUUUUUAUUUUAAAGAUCAUCCUAGAGUAUUGGGGUAAGGUGGCUCAGUUGGUAAAAUGCAUACUCCAUAAGCAUAAGGACCUAAUUGAAAUUCCAACACCUACUUAAACAUUGAGGCACGGUAUUAUUAUGUACUUGUAAUCCCACUGUUAGGGAGACUUAAGACAGGCAGUUCCCUGGGGCUUGCUAGGCAGCCAAGUUAGUCUGAUCAGUAAGCCUCAAGCCCCAACCCAGUAAGAGGCCAUGUCUCAAAACCACAAAAUGGGUAACAUACAAGGUUGAUCUGUGCCUCCACUUGUACACACACACACACACACACACACACACACAUACCCCUUACACACUCACACACAUACACACACAGACUCUCUCAUACACGCACACACAUACACAUACAUCCACACCCACGCACUCACACACUCACACACACAUACACCCCCCCCACACAUACACCCACACCCAUAUCUCCCAACACACAGACAUACCUACACUGAACACACAUGCACAAGCAACUUGCACCAAAUGUUCUCAGAGACUGUUUAAUAUGUACAGAAUUUACUGCUUAGAAUGUUGACAUUUUCCAAAGUGUGGAAGGUCCAGUGCCUUUUUAUGAGGCUGAGCUUAGACAGGAUUUUAGUCAAUUAUGGCAGAGACACCUCCAGGGAGCCUAGAAAGUAAAGAAUGUCUCAGGGCUGAGAUAACUUCUGGAAUCACUGCAGAGGCUAAAGACAGAGAGCUGAGGUUGAGUUACAGAACCCAGCUUUAGAGUUUAGGGCCAGAGCCGUGGAGUGAGGGAGCAGCCAGGAAGCUGCCAGCAGAUCUGUGGUAGCAGGAGACAAAGCAGUGGGAGGCAUGCCUCAGGCCCUGUGUGUCCAAUAGCUCCAUCCUGAUUCUAAGUCUAAUGUCAGUACCCUGACAAGCAGGUCUUAAAGCAUUUUGGCAGGCUAGGCAGAUGGGGGUCCAGCAUCUGCGACUGAAAUGGGAAUUGAGUGAAGCCCUCUAUUUCAUCCUGCCAUCUGGCAGCAGAUCAAAUAACAAAGCUUGUGCCUCCUCUGUCCCAUCCCACCCAUCCAUCCAUCCACCCAUCCACCCAUCCACCCAUCCACCCAUCCACCCAUCCACCCAUCCACCCAUCCACCCGAGCCCUUUUCAUGCUCUCUUCAUUCCUUAGACCACUAGAAAAGCUUUCACCAAUUAUUUGACUUCUCCAGGGUCUAUUUGACCAGAAAAAAAAAUCAACUGAGUAGAUCUUAAUUUCUGAACCCAAACCCCUUUCAAUUUUUGCUAUCAGCUAUUAGAAAGGACAAUUGGUUCCUUAGGGUCUUUUCAAAAAUGGGGGUUGAUAGAACUGAUAAAUUUCUCUAUCUAUAGCACAGUGAGGGAAAGCUAUGCAUUAUAAUUUAUUAUGUAUGGCUGAUCAGAGGGCUCCAAAGAGAAUAAGAACAAAGUAACAGAAAUGCUACCCUGACUGGAUUAGUACAAUUAUUAUGUUAAUCAUGAGAUGAAAAUGCUAACCACCUUUAUGAGAUUAUAGAUUCAGAAUUACUCCCUUCAUCCCAUUGUGUAGUUACUUUGAAAACGAAUUAUCUAAUUAUCAAUCUUUGAUUAAUAGAUCAAAGAUUUUUUUUUUAGUUCUUUUGACACACUGCUAAUAAUCUUGAUGACUUUCUUGAAUUCUUAUUUAAUAAAAUAUUAUGGAUCUGGGUUCGUGUGAUUCCUGUUCCUGAUCCCAGAGAACAACUGUCUUUCCAAGAAUAUUUGUUUUCUUGAGAAAGAAGAGAUGCAAAGGACAAUAUGGAUGCCACCUGAGACACGUGCUUUCUUAAAUUAAUCCAAUUUUUAAUUAUCGUAAGGAAUAAAGAAUAAAAAGCUAUGACUGUUAAUACAGAGUACAUGAACUCAGGACCAUGCCUUUCAAGGCCCAGAAGUGAUAGACACAAGUAAUGUUUUAAGAAAAUUUGGAACCUAGACAGAUGGUUCAGUUAUUAAGACCACUUGCUGCUCGUGUAAAGGUUUGGUUCCCAGCAAACUAGGUAGGCCCCUGUAAUUCCAGUUCCAGGGAACAUGGCAUCCUCUUCUGGUCUCUACUAGCACCUGUGCAUAUGUGGUACACACACACACACACACACACACACAC